UUUAAUAAAAAAUAAUUCUCUGGUAGACCAGGAAAUCAGUCAAUAUCCCCGACAUAAUGUUUUUUCUUCCAUCAUUCAAAAGUCGAUUUUGAAUCCGAGUGAAUGUUCUAAUUUUUAUGCAACUCCAAACGCCUCCCUGUGGAUCGACCUCUUACAACCGCUAUUCUUUGAGUAGAACAGGUAAGAGUAAAAAUUUAAAUUUAACUUUUGUUCGUCGGUUCUAACAACGAUCUGUUUAGCAUAUUUUUAGUUAGACACGAAAGGAUGAACAAUAUUAUUUUCAAUAAUUAAAUUCUGCGAUUCUUGAUUAAGGAUCAAUCAGAUAGAAUAGUUCUAAUCAUGGAGUAUACAAUUUGAAAACAUGAAUUCAAGAUCUAAGCAUUUAUCGUGCCGAUUACGUCUACGACAAAUCAAACAUCGAAAUAAUCCAUGAAUCAAGAAAUAUAAACCAUAAAAGAUCUAUCUCAUAAAUAAACAUGCAAGAAUCAAAAACAUAUGAAUAGAUGUAAAUCAAAGAGAUCAAUUGUUCAGAAUUUACUUGAAAGAAAAUAAGACAUCAAAGGUUCCUCCAUCACCCUUCACAAGAUAUCAGCCCUCCAUUAAAAUAUUAGCCUCUCCCUCUUUUUUUUUUUAUUUCUUUUCGGAAGAACAGGGCAUGCCCUGUUUCUUCCUUUUUUUUUUUUUCUACAACAGCUGAUGCUCUAUUUUUCGAAUGAGGGAUCCCCCAGCUCUUUCCCAGCCGAGCAAGAUAUAUCCAGCUCCCUCCCUUCCCUUCUCGCACCAGAUGAAGAUGAGCGGACCGGAUGGACUUUUGAGGCGUUGAUCGCGGGAUGAGGCGAUCAUCCGGGAUGCGGAUGCUGGCUGGCCGCGAGAUACCCGGACGCAGGAUCCUGCUUUGAUGCUGGAAUGGAGAUCUGAUCGCGAACGGAAGGAGGAUUGGAGCUGGGAUCUGUUGGAAUGCAAGGAAGAUGAACCGUGGACGGUUGCGGGAUGAUCACACGCGCUGGGAGAAGCUGUGAAUGCGGAAGAGGUGGACGA
rnacentral:lncRNA from 1 species